rnacentral:lncRNA from 1 species
AUGAGGCCCCACUGCUGGAUUUUAUCAGGUGCCUCCUGCAACAAGAGACCAGGCCCACCUCUCUCGGGGAUUCUGGGGAAAGCCCAGCUCCUCUGCAGAAGUCAGAAGCCACACCGGAGGAACCGCUGCACCUUGGAAGGAGAGAAGAGCCAUGAAAGAGCAGAGCGACUCAGAGAGCAAGGAGAUGGCGUCAGGCCAGCCACUGGCCUCAGGCAGCAACAGGGCCAAGCUCUACGGGGCUAUGGGUCGGAGGGAGGCAGGAGCUCACCUCCAGCACCCACAGAGCCUUGGCAGCAGGAGAGAAGUUAG